AACGCUGGCGGCAUGCCUUACACAUGCAAGUCGAACGGCAGCACGGGAGCAUCCUGGUGGCGAGUGGCGAACGGGUGAGUAAUAUAUCGGAACGUGCCCAGUAAUGGGGGAUAGCCCGGCGAAAGCCGGAUUAAUACCGCAUACGACCUACGGGUGAAAGCGGGGGAUCGCAAGACCUCGCGUUAUUGGAGCGGCCGAUAUCAGAUUAGCUUGUUGGCGGGGUAAAAGCCCACCAAGGCGACGAUCUGUAGCUGGUCUGAGAGGACGACCAGCCACACUGGGACUGAGACACGGCCCAGACUCCUACGGGAGGCAGCAGUGGGGAAUUUUGGACAAUGGGCGCAAGCCUGAUCCAGCCAUGCCGCGUGUGGGAAGAAGGCCUUCGGGUUGUAAACCACUUUUGUCAGGGAAGAAACGGCCUAGGUUAAUACCUUGGGCUAAUGACGGUACCUGAAGAAUAAGCACCGGCUAACUACGUGCCAGCAGCCGCGGUAAUACGUAGGGUGCAAGCGUUAAUCGGAAUUACUGGGC
rnacentral:rRNA from 1 species